AAGCCAACUCCACCCAUACCUGAAGUACCAUCUGUGAAGCGUGCCCGGUCUUCAUCUCGACCUACCACAUUGAAGAGGAAGGGGCUAAUGGAUGAUUCAAUGGUUUUGCAUGGCGAGUAUGUUAAAAUUCUCAUCUACAUGUCUCUGUAUAAAUAUUAAAUAUUUCUAUUUGAUAAGAAGUGUCUGGCAUCCUACCUUAAAUGGUCGCUGGUAAAGAAUUUCUGAUGUAGGACAGGUUGAGGAACCAGCCUAUAAAUGCUUUUAUGGUGGGAAAAAAUUAGGGUGAUUUAUUAUUUUCACGGUUUGAUUUAAGGAAGAAGGUGAACUGUAUUAGAGCUGGUCAGAGAAGAAGACAAAUUUCGGGUUAUGUUGAAGCUAUGAUAGCCCUGAAGCACUGUAGCAAAAAAAAAGAAGAAAAGAAAGGGGAGAAAAAUGAAGUAGCCACCGAGCCUUCCGAAUAAAAUACUUGUUAUUCCAUUAUUUAUCAAAACUCCCCUGAGAAUAACUAAGUUAUAUAAGUAUUUAUGGAGAUUUGAUAGUUAAUCCUACUAUUCCAAACUAGGAAGAUUCUUUCCCAAUACUAAAAUGCUAAAUAGUAUAUGAAGCAAAUGAAUUUGUCUUGGGAAUUCCUAAUAAUACUAAACCUGUUUUUUGAGAAUAAUAAUACUAAACCUUAAAUUUAUGGAGAUUUGAUAAUUAAUCCUACUACUAGUAGGAUUGGGAACUCCUAAACAGUACUAAACUCUAAAUUUCCUAAAUAUAAAUUUAUAAGAAAAAGAUUGAGUUUUACACUUAAGAAUUAGAUCAAAAUGAUCUAAAAAUGUAAUUUUCCUUGAUUGCAUUGAUGUACCUCAAGCUUUGUGCUUCUGGUACUGGUUAUGAAAAUUAUCACUGCAGUAUCUAAGCAGGAUCUGGCUGAAUAUAUUUUUCUUUAAUUUCCUGGAUUCCCUACAGAUAUUUUCCAGCACUAGUUUCUUAGUCAAUCAAUUUUAGUAUGCUAAUUUUAUUUAUGUAAUAAAUUCUUGGGUGUGUACAAUCUACCAUCUUUUGUGGUAAAAUAUUGAUGAAUUUGCCUACUACUUUGAAGUACUAUACGCCAACAGUUGACUAA
rnacentral:misc_RNA from 1 species